CAAUCUGCACGCAAGCCUUUAUUAUAAAUAGGCAUGGCAUAUGCAUGUGCCUCGUAUCCCCAUCCUCAAUAGUGGAUACGAUGAAGAAUUGGGCAGGGUUGUGUGCCCUGGUUUGUGCAGCGGCGCUUAUGGUGAUCACGGCAGAGCCUCCAGACCACGAGACUGUGCUUCCAAAUGAGGGUGUGUGCAGCACUUGGGGAGAUGGAUUUGUGAAGACCUUUGAUGGAUCCUUCUUUCAACUGCAGUCCAACUGCUCUUAUACACU